AGAAUGAACGCUGGCGGCAUGCCUAACACAUGCAAGUCGAACGAGAUCCUUCGGGAUCUAGUGGCGCACGGGUGCGUAACGCGUGGGAAUCUACCCUUGGGUUCGGAAUAACAGUGAGAAAUUACUGCUAAUACCGGAUAAUGUCGCAAGACCAAAGAUUUAUUGCCCAAGGAUGAGCCCGCGUAAGAUUAGCUAGUUGGUGGGGUAAAAGCCUACCAAGGCGACGAUCUUUAGCUGGUCUGAGAGGAUGAUCAGCCACACUGGGACUGAGACACGGCCCAGACUCCUACGGGAGGCAGCAGUGGGGAAUAUUGGACAAUGGGCGAAAGCCUGAUCCAGCAAUGCCGCGUGAGUGAUGAAGGCCUUAGGGUUGUAAAGCUCUUUUACCCGGGAAGAUAAUGACUGUACCGGGAGAAUAAGCUCCGGCUAACUCCGUGCCAGCAGCCGC
rnacentral:rRNA from 1 species